GGCCAUAUCAUACCGAAAACCAGUUCUUGUACAAUCCCUGAAGUUAAGCAACACUGAGCCUAGUCAGUACCUAGAUGGGUGACUGCUUGGGAAUAUCAGGUGCUGUAAG